CUUGAACGCUGGCGGCAGGCUUAACACAUGCAAGUCGAGCGGAGAUGAGGUGCUUGCACCUUAUCUUAGCGGCGGACGGGUGAGUAAUGCUUAGGAAUCUGCCUAUUAGUGGGGGACAACAUUCCGAAAGGAAUGCUAAUACCGCAUACGCCCUACGGGGGAAAGCAGGGGAUCUUCGGACCUUGCGCUAAUAGAUGAGCCUAAGUCGGAUUAGCUAGUUGGUGGGGUAAAGGCCUACCAAGGCGACGAUCUGUAGCGGGUCUGAGAGGAUGAUCCGCCACACUGGGACUGAGACACGGCCCAGACUCCUACGGGAGGCAGCAGUGGGGAAUAUUGGACAAUGGGCGGAAGCCUGAUCCAGCCAUGCCGCGUGUGUGAAGAAGGCCUUUUGGUUGUAAAGCACUUUAAGCGAGGAGGAGGCUACCUGGAUUAAUACUCUAGGAUAGUGGACGUUACUCGCAGAAUAAGCACCGGCUAACUCUGUGCCAGCAGCCGCCGCGGUAA
rnacentral:rRNA from 1 species